AUGAAAGCUAGUGAUGAUCAGAGCUCAAGUUUUCCCAUGCAGUAAUCUUGAUUGAUUCCUGUGGUCCCUGGAAAAACAUUAUGGCCCUCAAAUUUUCAAAAGUCGUGCAUUCACCGUUACCAUUUUGGAGCUCCAUCUACUGUUCCCUGUGGAUUGAGUAGCUAGUUGUUGGUCUUUGCUAAUGGCUGAAGCACUGUAAUCUGUAGCUAAAAAUGAGAAAAAUGCAUCAAGUCGGUCAAGAUAAAACCAGGAGUUGAAAUGG
rnacentral:misc_RNA from 1 species